CCUACGGGUGGCAGCAGUGAGGAAUAUUGGUCAAUGGACGCAAGUCUGAACCAGCCAUGCCGCGUGCAGGAAGACGGCUCUAUGAGUUGUAAACUUCUUUUGUACGAGAGUAAACGCAGAUACGCGUAUCUGUCUGCAAGUAUCGUACGAAUAAGGAUCGGCUAACUCCGUGCCAGCAGCCGCGGUAAUACGGAGGAUUCAAGCGUUAUCCGGAUUUAUUGGGUUUAAAGGGUGCGUAGGCGGGCGGAUAAGUUAGUUGUGAAAUCCCGAGGCUCAACUUCGGAAUUGCCUUUGAUACUGGCAGUCUAGAGAGCAGUUGCGGUAGGCGGAAUGUAUGGUGUAGCGGUGAAAUGCUUAGAGAUCAUACAGAACACCGAUUGCGAAGGCAGCUUACCAAGCUACUUCUGACAUUGAUGCACGAAAGCGUGGGGAGCAAACAGGAUUAGAUACCCUUGUAGUC
rnacentral:rRNA from 1 species